rnacentral:lncRNA from 1 species
GAAUCAACAAGGAUCUUUAGAUGAAUAAGUUUAAUCCUAUUAAAAAGUUAAUAUACAUGUACAACAGAAAAAACAAUGCCACCCAUAACAGAUGGAGGGUCAAAUUUUUAGAAUAUAUUUUCAUAACAAUUUUCUAUAUUAUUCAUAAUGCUUCAAUUCUAUUUAUACUAGUUACAAGGACAGAGUAGUCAUCAACCAUAAAAAAACAAGAGACCUGGUGCAAAAAUUCAGCAAGGGAGAGGAAAUCCAAAACUUUGAAUUUAGUGAAAUCAUUACUGGGCUGAAGAAAACAUUUGCACCUGCUUUACCAUUGUUUGAAAUGCUGAAAAGUCUAGGAUGCUGUCAAGUUUGUCCAAUAGAACAUAGACUUAUUAUGAAUCUAAUAUCCAGCUCAUCGCCUGCUUGUGCUCUGAUACCAGUAGAUGAAAAAAAAAAAUUAAAUGAUGUACUGGAUAUCUCAGACGACCCAGCAAGUUAUCCAGAAAUGAUGGAAUUUUUACAAAUCAAAGUACCAUUAUUGUUUGAUAUUUUAAAAGAAUCGGGACCUAUACCAUCUAACUAUAAAUUAAUAUUUCGUGGAAUAUAUGAAAAAUCAGUUAACACCUUUUCCAAGUCCUUAUCUACAGAUGAUGGCCAAUUAUAAUUCUCUGUAGAUAAUACAUGCUAUUUUCCAGCUUUGAAGAAAAUAAGGACAAGAGGGAAUUUCAAGGCAGAUAGAUCAAAAGUGUUAAAAGACGAGUGCAAGAAAGAGGCAACAAGGCAUCCUACACUUUUGCCUGGGAUAUUUACUGCUUUUUGUAAACACGGUAAUACAUAUUUUUCAAAUAUUUCCUUUCAGGUGCUCUGCAUUUAAUAUCCCUUUCCUCCAUGGAUUUUGUUCUCUCACAUACUUGAUUCGCAUAGGAUUUUUUCAAUAAAAAAAAACAUAAGGUUUAAAGUUAUAAUGCAUUGUGAAAAAAACGAAUAUUUCAUCAAUGAAAUUCAAGUCAGAUAUUCCCAUGAAUAUCCUUUUCAUAUUGGAAACAAACUUUUUUAAGUCUGAUGCAGACAUUUCGUAGUCAAAGUGUUUCAACUGAGGUACUAUACAGGCGUCAAAAGGCGUCAUUGUAAUGUCUGUGGUUACUGUAUGUGUUGUGUGUGGUUAUUAGUUACUGUCUGUAUGUAAUGUCUGUGGUUAUAAGAUACUACCUGUAUGUGUUGUGUGUGGUUAUUAGUUACUGUCUGUAUGUACUGUGUGUGGUUAUUAGAUACUGUCUGUAUGAACUGUUUUUGGUUAUAAGAUACUGUCUGUAUGUGUUGUGUGUGGUUAUUAAAUACUGUCUGUUUGUUUUGUAUAUGGUUAUUAGAUACUGUCUGUAUAUAUGUACUGUGUGUAUAAAAAAGGAGAUGUGGUGUGAUUGCCAAUGGGACAACUCUCUGCAAUAGACCAAACAAUCCAGAAAUUAACAACUUUAGGUCUCUGUUAAUGACAAUGUAAAACAAUUCUAAGAAAAAGACCUAAUCUAUGUAUAAAUAACAAAAAAGUAACACUUAUCAUGACUUAAAAAAACGACAACCACUGAAUUACAGGCUUCUGAAUUAAAUAUUGUUAAAAAAAUUAUUGAAAAUAGAUUUUUUUUUCUUUUCAGGUAUUUGUUAUGGAUUCCAAAUAAUGGAGUGCAAUGAAUCUCCUAAUGUUCCUUUCACAUUUCUUCGUACCAGAUUUAAGAAAGGUACCUAUUUUCAAUGCUUUAUAUAUACAUAUAUGUUAUACCUUGAUUUUUAUGCCCACCUAUAUACGAUAGUAGGGCCCUGGGGGGCAUUAUGUUUUCUGGCCUGUGGGUCUGUUCAUAUGUCCAUCUAUCUGUCCUGCUUCAGGUUGAAGUUUUUGGUCGUGGUAGUUUUUGAGUAAGUUGAAGUCCAAUCAACUUGAAACUUAGUGCACAUGUUCACUACGAUAAAAUCUUUUUAAUCUAAAUGCCAAAUUAGAUUUUUGAUCCCAAUUUCAUGGUUCACUGAACAUAGUAAGUGAUAGUGUGAGUUAUAUAUAUACAUUAUUGUAUACCAUGGUCACAUUCUUGUCUUAGUUCUACAGUUCUACAUAUAUAAUAUCUAAAAACAAAUCAUUUAUUAUAAUUACUCUCUUUUUAGAUAGACAAUAUGUAAUGAAGCACAAUGAAAAGAUAUCUAUAGCCUGUUUCAGAAGCUAUUUUUUUAUCCUACCAAGUGUUUCAUACAUAGGAGUGAUUUACAUAAAUUUAUUCUUUUUUUAGCACCAACUACUGUCAUCUAUGACAAUGCUUGCAAUCUGCAUUCAUACUGCCUAAACAGAGAUCCUGAUUUUUUUAAAGACACACUGUUUGUUGUGGACAAUUUGCACUGGGGAAAUCAUACCAGUAAGUUUUAUUUUUUACAAAUUUAUGAUUUAUAGCAAGUUAAGAAUAAAGAAGACAUAAUUUUUGUGGCUUGAAUUUGUAUUGAUUUUAACACGGAUGGGCCUUUUAUGCUAAAUAUUUUACUAUGAGGGGUAAAAUAUAGGCAUAACGGGCUGUUUAUCAAAUAUACAUACAACACCUGUACUGGUAAUCUUUUUACUGGUCAUUAAAAGAUUUGACAAAUUCUGAUGCAUAAACUAUAUAUUUGUCAAAUUUACUAUCAAAUACAUCAACCUUUUUGUUUGCAUCUUAGUUAGAUUUUUUUUCUAUUUUUGUUUAGAUUUUUUAGGCAGUGCUAUAUUGCUGAAAUAUGUUUCAAUUUGAUAAAUAUUUAAAUGACAACAAUAUUUUUAAAAUGCAAAUAACAAAUACAAAAGAAUAAUUAAGCUGUACAUCAUGUUUUCUUUUAUUUAAUAUUUUUUUAUAUUUCAGAGCAGCAAGGAAACAGCUGUAGUGUAAAAUGUAAAAACAAAUUGUAGUUUAUUUUUUCUCUGUGACUAGGUAUAUCAUUUACUAUUUAAAAAACUUAAUUGCAUUUCUCCUCAUUGCAGGUUGUUCCAGAGUUUAUGAGGCAAAAUUUCAUCCAGAGUUAAGCAAGGUGAACACACAGAUGGUCGAGCAAAACAAUGCUAAAUUAAGAAAACUGAAGAGUAAUUUGUCUUAUAUGAAUUAUGAUAAUUUUAUGAGCCAUUUGAAAUUUUUUCUGUGGUAUUGUAAUAUGGAGCACAUGUUGUUUAAAAUCUAGUUACACACACUAUCAAAUAAUUAUAUUUUGUUCAACCCAAUUGAUUACAGAGAUCAAAACAUUACUUUUGAUGCAAAGAUUAUUGAUCCCCUUUUGAUUAAAUUUUUGACUAUUUGGACUUGGAGAGUAGAAUAAUCCUGCAAAAUAUCCUAGGAAAAUAAAGGGUGUUAAGAAAAGAUUCCAAAAUUGUCAGGAGUGCAACACUUUUUCUUAGACAUUUUUUUAAGACACAUCAACUUGUAAUAUGAUGAUAUGUGCCAUUGAUUCUUAUUUUUAUUACAACUAGAUUUUAGCUUGUUCAUUAAACCAUUUUGAUACCGAUGUGUUUUGAACAAAAGUAUUGUCCUGUCUGGGGUAAUACAAAAAUUAGUACAAAUGAGGAAAAGAAUGAUAUUUUAUGGCCCCUCAACAAAGUUAGUAUAUGAAUCACAUCUUAACAUAAGCAAAAGUCAAUCCUGUAUAAAAUAUAUGUCCUUACCAGAAUUAAUACUUUAUUAACGUAAUUAUUGUUGUAAAUGAUAUGUGAUAGUCAAGUAUAUAAGGCCUUCCUAUAAGUGUCAGGACUGCAACUUUGAAGUUAAAAACUGGCACUUACUGAAUAAAAAGUCAAAUUAUAUAAUAUAAUAUUGUUCUGUUUUAUUUGUCAAAAUAUACUAUACUAGAUACAAGAUACAAGAUUGCAC